GUUGAGCGCGAAUCCUUCAUAGCGACGUCGCUUUUUGAUCCUUCGAUGUCGGCUCUUCCUAUCAUUGCGAAGCAGAAUUCGCCAAGCGUCGGAUUGUUCACCCGCCAACAGGGAACGUGAGCUGGGUUUAGACCGUCGUGAGACAGGUU
rnacentral:ncRNA from 1 species